UCACUGACGAGUUUGAUCAUGGCUCAGAACGAACGCUGGCGGCAGGCCUAACACAUGCAAGUCGAGCGAACCCUUCGGGGUUAGCGGCGGACGGGUUAGUAACGCGUGGGAAUAUACCCUUUGGUACGGAAUAGCCUCGGGAAACUGAGAGUAAUACCGUAUGUGCCCUUCGGGGGAAAGAUUUAUCGCCAAAGGAUUAGCCCGCGUUGGAUUAGAUAGUUGGUGGGGUAAUGGCCUACCAAGUCUACGAUCCAUAGCUGGUUUGAGAGGAUGAUCAGCAACACUGGGACUGAGACACGGCCCAGACUCCUACGGGAGGCAGCAGUGGGGAAUCUUAGACAAUGGGCGCAAGCCUGAUCUAGCCAUGCCGCGUGGACGAUGAAGGCCUUAGGGUUGUAAAGUCCUUUCAGAUGGGAAGAUAAUGACGGUACCAUCAGAAGAAGCCCCGGCUAACUCCGUG
rnacentral:rRNA from 1 species